UUUUUUUCUUGAUUUUCGAGUUAUCAAGAUUUAUUAAAAUGGUUUGUCAUUUGGCAUGUUUGCUCUUUUUGCCGUUCUGGCAUGUUUAGUUAUCGCAAUGUCUGCUUCUAUUAGCAAGUAAUUUUCUUUCUUUUUUUUUUUGGUUAUUUAGUGGUUGUUUUAGUUUUCUGGUUCGAUUUUAUUGGGUUUUUUUUUCUGGUUUGAUCCUAUCAUCUUUUGAGGAUGGAAAGAGGGAUGGCGAAUUUGCGAAUAGAAGACAGUGAAGAAGAGGCUUGGAGUGUUCAUGGAGAUGGAGAACCUUUAAACCAAAGGUACGAGUUCUAUCUAGUGAGUUGUUUUCUAACAGCAAGUGUGAUAAACUCUCAGGCAAUGUGGAACACUAUGGCUAAUCU
rnacentral:lncRNA from 1 species